AACGAACGCUGGCGGCAUGCCUAACACAUGCAAGUCGAACGAGACCUUCGGGUCUAGUGGCGCACGGGUGCGUAACGCGUGGGAACCUGCCUUUAGGUUCGGAAUAACUCAGAGAAAUUUGAGCUAAUACCGGAUGAUGUCUUCGGACCAAAGAUUUAUCGCCUUUAGAUGGGCCCGCGUUGGAUUAGCUAGUUGGUGGGGUAAAGGCCUACCAAGGCGACGAUCCAUAGCUGGUCUGAGAGGAUGAUCAGCCACACUGGGACUGAGACACGGCCCAGACUCCUACGGGAGGCAGCAGUGGGGAAUAUUGGACCAUGGGCGAAAGCCUGAUCCAGCAAUGCCGCGUGAGUGAUGAAGGCCUUAGGGUUGUAAAGCUCUUUUACCCGAGAUGAUAAUGACAGUAUCGGGAGAAUAAGCCCCGGCUAACUCCGUG
rnacentral:rRNA from 1 species